AUAUUUAUUCCAAUAAAUCAAUUUAUUUUUAUUUUUAGAGUUUUUGAGUUAUCUCUAAGUAAAAAGUGUGAAUAUUUUCGUAACUUAAUUUUUUAUGUGAUAAAAUUAAUUUUAUUGGACUUCCAACAUAAAUUGAUUUAGCAAAACUCAGUUCAAAGGUUUAUAUCAGACCUAAAACGUCAGGACCCGCCCACCUGCAUGCGGCUGUGGAAGAACAAGCCCAGACACGUUUCUUCACGGAGAACAAGGAAAACACUUUACCGAACUCAUAUGGGAUGGCCCUGUAAGUUGUGCAGCACUGUUGUACCAACCAAGAGUGACAUUUUAAAGCAUUACAGACUGCAACAUGGGACCUUUGGACACAGCCAUUCCUUGCCUUGCAUUCAUAUUAAUGAAGCGGAAUCAACAUUUAUGUCCCAACUGGACAGGUACACGCCAAAGCUCCUGGAGCUCUUCAGUGCAAAAGAAGGAGUGACUGCAGCGCAUCAAGAACAUGUUGAUGGAACUGAUACAGGACCCAAGUGCCUCUGCAGUGAAGAAGAGAGAUGUAACUGUGAGAUGCCUUAUAGAGUACAUGGGAGAGAGUGGACAGGAGCUAAUCUCUGACUACUGGAACUGCAGAGACCGCUGUUCAUGAGGACCUGGAAAUGAAGAAUAUGAGCAUCUACAUCUGUCGUGAGCCAAAUGCAGUAGGAAUCAUCAUUGAGGGAGUACCAGUCCUUACUCAUCUUGGAAACCUGGUCAAAGCAUGCUGCCUACUUCUGGGGUUGACGUAUGCACUUAAUCUUGAGUAUCCAUCCAAACUUUCCAAAACAUUUGAGGUGUUUCAAAGACUUUUUGUGGGACUUGACACACUGCGCCCAAAACCAACCCCCAAAUUCAUGACUCUCAAAAACAAGCUUCUAGCUUAGGCAGUGAGCCAUGACUGUCAGCUUGCACUUUUGAACAGCUAUUUUCUUGUGUCUGUUCAAAAUCAUUAUACAUUGUUCAUUGAGUGGAAUUCUUCAGAAUGUUGUAACGGUUUGUCCUGUUCAGGUUUUAUACAAAGCUCCAGGUCAUCGUUUCUGGUGUGUAAAUUAAGUUUUUUUAUGUUUUAUACACACUAAAUUGCCCUACUGUGAAGCUCCAGCUGGUCAGAAGGAGGGAUCUGUGAGUUGUUUAAGUUAAAAUGUUUCAAAAUAUACACACUGAAAGACACUACAGUGAAGGUGUUCUGCUUGUGAAUUGUUACAGAAGUACAGAUAAUCUUAAUGUUAAAUUGUUUUAGCAAGAAACUGUACUGUGAAUGUUCUAAGUAAAACUUGAGAUGCUGAGGUCAUGCAUUCUUUUAUGCACUAAAUACUGAUGUUCUUGACUGUUAAUACUGUCCAGCAUAUUGACAGGUUUGGAUAUGGCUUGUGAAAAUGUUUUAAUAUGUAUACGGUUAAAAAAAGAAAACUACUGUGAAGGUGUUCUAUACAGCACUUUAAAAAGUUGAGGUCAUGCAUUCUUGUAUAAUAUGGAUGUUGACUGUUCAUACUGUCCAGCUCAUUGCCACUGUUUUUAUAUGGUAAUGAUUUAAUAAAGGUUGGAAUUUGA